rnacentral:rRNA from 1 species
UACGAAGGGGGCUAGCGUUGCUCGGAAUCACUGGGCGUAAAGGGUGCGUAGGCGGGUCUUUAAGUCAGGGGUGAAAUCCUGGAGCUCAACUCCAGAACUGCCUUUGAUACUGAGGAUCUUGAGUUCGGGAGAGGGUGAGUGGAACUGCGAGUGUAGAGGUGAAAUUCGUAGAUAUUCGCAAGAACACCAGUGGCGAAGGCGGCCCGCUGGGCAGUGGCUGACGCUGAGGCGCGACAGC